rnacentral:rRNA from 1 species
GACGAACGCUGGCGGCGUGCUUAACACAUGCAAGUCGAACGGAAAGGCCCUGCUUUUGUGGGGUGCUCGAGUGGCGAACGGGUGAGUAACACGUGAGUAACCUGCCCUUGACUUUGGGAUAACUUCAGGAAACUGGGGCUAAUACCGGAUAGGAGCUCCUGCUGCAUGGUGGGGGUUGGAAAGUUUCGGCGGUUGGGGAUGGACUCGCGGCUUAUCAGCUUGUUGGUGGGGUAGUUGCUUACCAAGGCUUUGACGGGUAGCAGGCCUGAGAGGGUGACCGGCGACAAUGGGACUGAGAUACGGCCCAGAGUCCUACGGGAGGCAGCAGUGGGGAAUAUUGCACAAUGGGCGGAAGCCAGAUGCAGCAACGCCGCGUGCGGGAUGACGGCCUUCGGGUUGUAAACCGCUUUCGCCUGUGACGAAGCGUGAGUGACGGUAAUGGGUAAAGAAGCACCGGCUAACUACGUG